AUUUCUACCUCAUUUUCGACCCAACUCAGACCAAAAACUCUCUCUAGACCUCCUAAACAUAUCCUUAUGGUUUGAAAGCCAAAUCAAAGGUAGAAAAGGUGAAACAAGUGGGUUCAAGCCUUAGGAACCCGAACUAGUCGAUAGUUUGCCUCUUUCUAUCUCUUGGUGGCUGUUUGAGGAAGACUUAGCAACGAAGUAAGCUCUGUAAAUUGGGGAUUCGUGUGCUUUUAGACACGAGAAGAUUUUGUGAGCUUGGUAGUUGAUUGAAGAGGAGAUUAAAAGGUCUGCAGAUGUAGGUUGGUGAUCCAUCUAUUAGGAUGUCAGCUCAGUGGAUGAGUUGGUACACUCUGUUUGUUCCGGAGAUGCUAGGAGUCAGCAUGGUCUUAUGUAUAUAUAGAUAUGUACGCACAUAUGUUGGGUAUGGCGGGGCCCUGUCCCGGCCACGUUAUGUUUUUCAAUAGAGGCUUGUAGACAGUUUUGUACAGUCAGAUGAGGUCUAGACUUGAGCUUUCAUAUGUCAUCGCAGUUGGUUAUGAUGGCCUUAUCAGCUUAUACAGUAUUUUCACAUAGAUGAGUCUUUCAGAACAGUUGAAGUUGAUGCAUGCAUGUUCCUUAUAAGUUAUUGAGAGUCAUAUGAUGGCCCUAUCGGCCCACCUAUGUUUAUGUUGAUGUCACAAAUGUAUGUCAGGUGGUACUUGACUAGUACAGUCAGGUGCCCGUCAUGGCCCUCCAGUUUGGGUCGUGACAAUCCGCUUCAUAGGAUAACAUUUCAUAGCAGUGGAACGAUCUUUACUCCAAGGGACCUAGUUCUUCGGUCAAUUUUUGUUAAUAAUCAAAAUUA